AAAUUGAAGAGUUUGAUCAUGGCUCAGAUUGAACGCUGGCGGCAGGCCUAACACAUGCAAGUCGAACGGUAACAGGAAGCAGCUUGCUGCUUUGCUGACGAGUGGCGGACGGGUGAGUAAUGUCUGGGAAACUGCCUGAUGGAGGGGGAUAACUACUGGAAACGGUGGCUAAUACCGCAUAACGUCGCAAGACCAAAGAGGGGGACCUUCGGGCCUCUUGCCAUCAGAUGUGCCCAGAUGGGAUUAGCUGGUAGGUGGGGUAACGGCUCACCUAGGCGACGAUCCCUAGCUGGUCUGAGAGGAUGACCAGCCACACUGGAACUGAGACACGGUCCAGACUCCUACGGGAGGCAGCAGUGGGGAAUAUUGCACAAUGGGCGCAAGCCUGAUGCAGCCAUGCCGCGUGUAUGAAGAAGGCCUUCGGGUUGUAAAGUACUUUCAGCGGGGAGGAAGGUG
rnacentral:rRNA from 1 species